ACCGGCAGCUAGCUCUCUGCAACUCUCUCAUAGUCGCGCACUGAAGCUAAGCAGGGCUGCCCCUGUUCAGUACCUGGAUGGGAGACCACAUGGGAACACUAGGUUGCUGCCGGAA
rfam:Danio rerio chromosome 8, GRCz11 reference primary assembly.